GACAGAGGUGCCGAGCGUUAGGCGGAAUCACUGGGCUUAAAGCGUGUGUAGGCGGGCGAUCAAGUACCUUGUGAAAUCCCACGGCUCAACCGUGGAACCGCUGGGUAUACUGGUUGUCUUGAGCCGGCUAGGGGCGAGCGGAACAGACGGUGGAGCGGUGAAAUGCGUAGAUAUCGUCUGGAACGCCGAAGGUGAAAACAGCUCGCUGGGGCCGCGCUGACGCUGAGACGCGAAAGCGUGGGGAGCGAACAGG
rnacentral:rRNA from 1 species